ACUCAUUUACAUUAAAUUUAUUAGUUUGUGGAAUAUAUUUAUACAAGUAUCGAUACGUGGUGUGAAAAUAAGUGUUAACGGAAUAAUUUAUUGCUAAAUGUGUAAUAUAAAAAUAUAAUAGAAAUAUGAUAUCGUAUUAGUGAAUGUGCGUCGUAAUAGAGUACAUCCUUUUUCGUCCUUAAAAGAUCCUAUUUUCUUUCUUCAACUUCAAACUAUCAGAGGAGAGGAGAGGGUCAAAACAAGGUUCAGCAAGUUGAAUUCUAAGAAGCUGAUAUCUAGACCACCAUCUAUUGAACGUGGAUGAAAACGGGGGCAACGAUUGGAAAAAGUCUGAUGUUUCACUACUUUCACAUUCUUCUAUAUGAGAUGGAAUUUCAUGUGGAAUUCACGAUGACUUUUCAUUGAGCCAUAUCACUAUCAAUAGUACAUUUCUUCGUAUCUAAUGAUUAUCUGGAAGAAGAUCAUUUGAUUUGAUUUGGAGAUCACUUGAAGAUUAAAAAUGGAGGAUUAAGAUCAUCUCAAGAUCAAGAUCCAUUUGAAGAUAUUACGAUAAUGAAUUUAUUAAAACAUCUAAAUUAAUUUCCUUACAAUAAUUAAUUGAUGGAUAUUACAAUCAUAAUUUAUCCUCAUUCUCAUCAAAGCGUCUAAUCAUUUUAAAUGGUAGGAGUGAAAGUGACAACGAGGAGAAUAACUCGACGUAUAAUCAGCCGUGUACGAAUACAAGCAGUGGUAUAAGUAAUCCAAUAAUCGUGGAACGAAGCCGACCAGCUAUCUAAGAAGCUUAAUUUUUACACGAGGGUGCUUCCAUCGUGGUAACCAUCGUUUAGUUUUUUUUUUUACGUAUGUAUGUUUAAUUAAGAGCUAACAUUGUAAAUCGUAUCGUUUGUUUGUUAUUGGGAUAUAUGUGGGUUUAUAGAUAAUAAAUAUCUAUUUACACGUGAUUAGUUUUACGAUACGAUUGGGAUAAUGCCAUUUUUGAAGAAAAAUAAACUUUAGAGUU